ACCAAAGCUUCUCCAUGCCCGGACAACUGUAACUUCUGUAGAGCUGAACUGGUGAAGCUGGAGGACUGAGAAUUGAACGCAGAGCUUGACCCCUGCCAGAUCUGUUGCCUUUAAGGAAAUAAGAAACAACAUGGGAAACCUCGUCUCAUCAGAAGUUAGGAAAGCCAGAAACUGAAUGAACACCACUCUUGAGAGUUUGAAGGGAAAUAGCGCUAACCCUAGGAUACUACAUCCAAUCAACACAUCCUUCAAAAGUGAAGGAGAGGGCUGGCAGCAUGGUGCAGAGGAUGAAUGUGCUUGGCCCUGAGCUGGAACAAAGUGGGAAAGUGGAUUGCUGUCAAGAUGGGGAUGAAUCAUCUUAUCCCUAAUAUGAAGACCAUAAACAACCGAUACUCUGUGUUUCAGAUGCCUGAGGACAGAAGCGAAGAACUGUUUUCCUUCCCGAUCAGUCCAUCUUCCCAUCCCACUCUGCACCCCUGUCGCAGGCAGUGGUAAUGUGCCAACUUCCCUGCUGUCCUCCUGAGUUCGGCUAACAGGAGACUCCAGCCAGGGUGAAGAAGGCCUUUGUUCCCUUCCACGGCACCCCAGGGAAUAGUGACACAACUCAAGACAUACAGUGCUUCUUAGUUGCUGAGGUGCGACUUCUAGCCAUUGACUCAUCAUAGCCCUGUAGGCCGAUCAGUCCCUUGCUCUUAGCCUAGGUAAUGGACAACCCUGGGUGGUUUCCUUAAACUCACCAGACAGAUUUCUAGUCUCCCUUCCCACAAGCCUCCCCUUCAAUCCUCCUUUAUAUACACCAGGUUUGUUUUUUUUUUUAAUUUCAAGGACUCUCACUAACAUUCUUCCAAUUUAUAUCUCUAUUCAGAACAUUUGUUACUGCACUCCUCAACUUGGCAAGUGUCACUACCACAAGAACUAAAGCAGGUGCCCAGGUGACGUCCUGAUGGAAUCUUUCUCUUCCGCUUCAUAGUCCAUGCCAAUGGAGUUCUUUCCCUUUAACGUUCUAUUCGCCAUGCCUGCGAGCACAGCUUUCCCAGUUGCUCUUUACAGUGGUUCCUGAUGUGACUUCCUUUAUGGGUGCCAGGAAGACAGAACACAUCAACUACUUAGAACCCUUUGGUGUACCUCCCUCAUCUGAUUUCACUUGACAAAGGUUCAAGAGCACAACGUUCUAUUCAACUAUGGUGUCAUAGUUCUUUAUUGUUGAUUACAACUGUCUGCCUCUUCUGUACAUAGUAUAUAAGGUAAAUUUGGCCAUAGAUAUUUCUGUAUAGG
rnacentral:sRNA from 1 species